rnacentral:rRNA from 1 species
AUUGAACGCUGGCGGCAGGCUUAACACAUGCAAGUCGAGCGGAGAUGAGGUGCUUGCACCUUAUCUUAGCGGCGGACGGGUGAGUAAUGCUUAGGAAUCUGCCUAUUAGUGGGGGACAACAUUCCGAAAGGAAUGCUAAUACCGCAUACGUCCUACGGGAGAAAGCAGGGGAUCUUCGGACCUUGCGCUAAUAGAUGAGCCUAAGUCGGAUUGGCUAGUUGGUGGGGUAAAGGCCUACCAAGGCGACGAUCUGUAGCGGGUCUGAGAGGAUGAGCCGCCACACUGGGACUGGGACACGGGCCAGACUCCUACGGGAGGCAGCAGUGGGGAAUAUUGGACAAUGGGUGGAACCCUGAUCCAGCCAUGCCGCGUGUGUGAAGAAGGCCUUAUGGUUGUAAAGCACUUUAAGCGAGGAGGAGGCUACUGAGACUAAUACUCUUGGAUAGUGGACGUUACUCGCAGAAUAAGCACCGGCUAACUCUGUGCCAGCCGCCGCAGUAAUAC